rnacentral:rRNA from 1 species
GACGAACGCUGGCGGCGUGCCUAAUACAUGCAAGUCGAACGCAGUGGGGACGGGUGAUUAACACGUGGGUAACCUCCCAUCAGAGGGGAUAAAACUUGGAAACAGGUGCUAAACCGAUACUGAUGGCAGGAGCCGCGGUGCAUGAGCUAGUUGGGGAGGUAACGGCUCACCAAGGCCACGAUGCAUAGCCGGCCUGAUGGGUGGAUCGGCCACACUGGGACGGAGACACGGCCCAGACUCCUACGGGAGGCAGCAGUAGGGAAUCUUCGGCAAGGGACGCAAGUCUGACCGAGCAACGCCGCGUGGGUGAAGAAGGUUUUCGGAUCGUAAAACUCUGUUGUUGGAGAAGCGGUAUCUAACCAGAAAGCCACGGCUAACUACGUGCCAGCAGCCGCGGUAAUAC